AUUGAACGCUGGCGGCAGGCCUAACACAUGCAAGUCGAGCGAGCGGCGGACGGGUGAGUAAUGUCUGGGAAACUGCCUGAUGGAGGGGGAUACCUACUGGAAACGGUAGCUAAUACCGCAUACCAUCAGAUGUGCCCAGCUGGGACUAGCUAGUGGGUGGGGUAACGGCUCACCUAGGCGACGAUCCCUAGCUGGUCUGAGAGGAUGCACAGCCACACUGGAACUGAGAAACGGUGCAGAAUCCGACGGGAGGCAGCAGUGGGGAAUAUUGCACAAUGGGCGCAGGCCUGAUGCAGACAGGCCGAGGGUGUGAAGAAGGCCUUCGGGUUGUAAAGCACUUUCAGCGGGGAGGCGUUACCCGAAGAAGAAGCACCGGCUAACUCCGUGCCAGCAGCCGCGGUAAUUC
rnacentral:rRNA from 1 species